GAUGAACGCUGGCGGCGUGCCUAAUACAUGCAAGUCGAGCGAACAGACGAGGAGCUUGCUCCUUUGACGUUAGCGGCGGACGGGUGAGUAACACGUGGAUAACCUACCUAUAAGACUGGGAUAACUUCGGGAAACCGGAGCUAAUACCGGAUAACAUGUUGAACCGCAUGGUUCAACAGUGAAAGACGGUCUUGCUGUCACUUAUAGAGGGAUCCGCGCCGCAUUAGCUAGUUGGUAAGGUAACGGCUUACCAAGGCAACGAUGCGUAGCCGACCUGAGAGGGUGAUCGGCCACACUGGACCUGAGCCACGGUCCAGACUCCUGCGGGAGGCACCGGUAGGGAAUCUUCCGCAAUGGGCGAAAGCCUGACGGAGCAACGCCGCGUGAGUGAAGAAGGUCUUCGGAUCGUAAAACUCUGUUAUUAGGGAAGAACAAAUGUGUAAGUAACUAUGCACGUCUUGACGGUACCUAAUCAGAAAGCCACGGCUAACUACGUG
rnacentral:rRNA from 1 species